rnacentral:sRNA from 1 species
GAACGGGCUUUGAAGAUGUAUCAGUGC